rnacentral:lncRNA from 1 species
AAACCAUGAGUGUAAUCAACACACUCGCCACUGUAUUGGAAUUAUCUGUUCUUCCUGACGAUAUUCAACAUAUUUUAUUUGAAUCCGGUUUUACACUAAGGUCAUUUGUAUUAACCACACAAGAGGGCCUUGUCAAAUUAGGAUUUAGGAUUGCAGAAAAAAAGUUACUGCAGAAAUGGAUUAGGGCUCAACCGGUUGUUAAUGUUCCAGCUGGUAAUGAAUAUGUUGCCACACAGUGUUUAUUGAGUAUUGAAAAGAUAGGCCAAAUGUUACUGAGAAGCAGGACUUAUCAAAGUCAAUUAUUGA